rnacentral:rRNA from 1 species
AUGAACGCUGGCUACAGGCUUAACACAUGCAAGUCGAGGGGAAACGACGGGGAAGCUUGCUUCCCCGGGCGUCGACCGGCGCACGGGUGAGUAACGCGUAUCCAACCUGCCUCUGACUGAGGGAUAACCCGUCGAAAGUCGGCCUAAUACCUCAUGGCAUCGUCUGCGGGCAUCCAACGACGAUUAAAGAUUUCAUCGGUCAGAGAUGGGGAUGCGUCUGAUUAGCUUGUUGGCGGGGUAACGGCCCACCAAGGCGACGAUCAGUAGGGGUUCUGAGAGGAAGGCCCCCCACAUGGGAACUGAGCCACGGUCCAAACUCCUACGGGGGGGAGAAGUGGGGAAUAUGGGUCAAGGGGGGAGAGCCUGAACCAGCCAAGUGGGGGGCAGGAUGACGGCCCUAUGGGUUGUAAACUGCUUUUUUGGGGGGAAAAAGGGGGGGACGUGUCCUUCAUUGCAGGUACCGCAUGAAUAAGGACCGGCUAAUUCCGG